rnacentral:rRNA from 1 species
AUAGCGUAUAUUAAAGUUGUUGCAGUUAAAAAGCUCGUAGUUGAACUUCAGACCUGGCCGGAUGGUCUGCCUAACGGUAUGUACUGUCUGGCUGGGCCUUACCUCUUGGUGAGCCGGCAUGCCCUUCACUGGGUGUGUUGGGGAACCAGGACUUUUACCUUGAGAAAAUUAGAGUGUUCAAAGCAGGCUUAUGCUCGAAUACAUUAGCAUGGAAUAAUAAAAUAGGACGUGCGGUUCUAUUUUGUUGGUUUCUAGAGUCGCCGUAAUGAUUAAUAGGGAUAGUUGGGGGCAUUAGUAUUCAGUUGCUAGAGGUGAAAUUCUUGGAUUUACGGAAGACUAACUACUG